rnacentral:rRNA from 1 species
GAGUUGUAAUUUGUAGAGGAUGUUUUGGGUACCGCCCCGGUUUAAAUUUCUUGGAACAGAAUGUCAAAGAGGGUGAGAGUCCCGUCUUGGACCGCGGUAGGGCCUGUGUAAAACUCCUUCGACGAGUCGACUUGUUUGGGAAUGCAGGUCAAAAUGGGUGGUAAAUUUCAUCUAAAGCUAAAUAUUGGCCAGAGACCGAUAGCGCACAAGUAGAGUGAUCGAAAGAUGAAAAGCACUUUGAAAAGAGAGUUAAACAGUAUGUGAAAUUGUUGAAAGGGAAGCGCUGGCAACCAGACUCGUGCGCGGGGUUCCCCCUUGCUUCUGCUUGGGUCACUUCCCCGUGUCCGGGCCAUCAUCAGUUUCGGGGGUCGGUUAAAGGCUCUGGGAAUGUAUCCACGCCUUCGGGGGUGGACUUAUAGCCCAGGGUGUCAUGCGGCCACCCGGGACUGAGGAACGCGCUUCGGCGAGGAUGAUGGCGUAAUGGUUGUCAGCGGCCCGUCUUGAAACACGGACCAAGGAGUCUAACAUCUAUGCGAGUGUUCGGGUGUCAAACCCUUGCGCGGAAUGAAAGUGAACGGAGGUAGGAAGGCUUAAGCCUGCACUAUCGACCGAUCCUGAUGUCUUCGGAUGGAUUUGAGUAAGAGCAUAGCUGUUGGGACCCGAAAGAUGGUGAACUAUGCGUGAAUAGGGUGAAGCCAGAGGAAACUCUGGUGGAGGCUCGCAGCGGUUCUGACGUGCAAAUCGAUCGUCAAAUU